CUACGGGAGGCUGCAGUGGGGAAUCUUAGACAAUGGGGGAAACCCUGAUCUAGCCAUGCCGCGUGAUCGAUGAAGGCCUUAGGGUUGUAAAGAUCUUUCAGGUGGGAAGAUAAUGACUGUACCACCAGAAGAAGCCCCGGCUAACUCCGUGCCAGCAGCCGCGGUAAUACGGAGGGGGCUAGCGUUAUUCGGAAUUACUGGGCGUAAAGCGCACGUAGGCGGACCAGAAAGUCAGAGGUGAAAGCCCGGGGCUCAACCCCGGAACUGCCUUUGAAACUCCUGGUCUUGAGGUCGAGAGAGGUGAGUGGAAUUCCGAGUGUAGAGGUGAAAUUCGUAGAUAUUCGGAGGAACACCAGUGGCGAAGGCGGCUCACUGGCUCGAUACUGACGCUGAGGUGCGAAAGCGUGGGGAGCAAACAGGAUUAGAUACCCUAGUAGUC
rnacentral:rRNA from 1 species